rnacentral:misc_RNA from 1 species
UCGUAACAAGGUUUCCGUAGGUGAACCUGCGGAAGGAUCAUUACAGUAUUCUUUUUGCCAGCGCUUAAUUGCGCGGCGAAAAAACCUUACACACAGUGUUUUUUGUUAUUACAAGAACUUUUGCUUUGGUCUGGACUAGAAAUAGUUUGGGCCAGAGGUUACUGAACUAAACUUCAAUAUUUAUAUUGAAUUGUUAUUUAUUUAAUUGUCAAUUUGUUGAUUAAAUUCAAAAAAUCUUCAAAACUUUCAACAACGGAUCUCUUGGUUCUCGCAUCGAUGAAGAACGCAGCGAAAUGCGAUAAGUAAUAUGAAUUGCAGAUUUUCGUGAAUCAUCGAAUCUUUGAACGCACAUUGCGCCCUCUGGUAUUCCAGAGGGCAUGCCUGUUUGAGCGUCAUUUCUCUCUCAAACCUUCGGGUUUGGUAUUGAGUGAUACUCUUAGUCGAACUAGGCGUUUGCUUGAAAUGUAUUGGCAUGAGUGGUACUGGAUAGUGCUAUAUGACUUUCAAUGUAUUAGGUUUAUCCAACUCGUUGAAUAGUUUAAUGGUAUAUUUCUCGGUAUUCUAGGCUCGGCCUUACAAUAUAACAAACAAGUUUGACCUCAAAUCAGGUAGGACUACCCGCUGAACUUAAGCAUAUCAAUAA